rnacentral:sRNA from 1 species
AUUGGGUCCCUGCUGGCCCAGCUGCCUGUGGACGUUGUUAUUGGGAAGAUGCUGAUCCUGGGCUCCAUGUUCAGCCUGGUGGAGCCUGUGCUCACCAUCGCAGCCGCGCUUAGCGUCCAGUCGCCCUUCACCCGCAGCGCCCAGAGCAGCCCAGAGUGCGCGGCAGCACGGCGGCCGCUGGAGAGCGACCAGGGUGACCCCUUCACGCUCUUCAACGUCUUCAACGCCUGGGUGCAGGUGAAAUCUGAACGGAGCAGAAACUCUCGCAAGUGGUGCCGCCGCCGGGGCAUAGAGGAGCAUCGACUGUACGAGAUGGCCAACCUUCGGCGCCAGUUCAAGGAGCUGUUGGAGGACCACGGGCUGCUGGCUGGGGCCCAGGCCGCGCCGGUAGGGGACAGCUACAGUCGGCUGCAGCAGCGCCGGGAGCGCCGGGCCCUGCACCAGCUGAAACGCCAGCACGAGGAGGGCGCGGGGCGCAGGCGCAAGGUGCUGCGGCUGCAGGAGGAGCAGGACGGCGGCUCCAGUGACGAGGACAGGGCUGGCCCAGCCCCCCCAGGGGCCAGUGAUGGCGUGGACAUCCAGGAUGUGAAGUUCAAGCUUCGGCAUGACCUGGCGCAGCUGCAGGCCGCCGCCAGCUCAGCCCAGGACCUGAGCCGCGAGCAGCUGGCUCUGCUGAAGCUGGUGCUGGGCCGGGGCCUGUACCCGCAGCUGGCCGUCCCCGACGCCUUCAACAGCAGCCGAAAGGACUCAGACCAGGUGGGGCCUGUUCUGCCCCAUCCUAUGUUUUGUCCUCCAACACACGAACCCUGAGUGCCUGUCCUGUGCCGGGAAUGCAGUGGUGACUGAAACAACCCUGGUUCUGUCCCCAUGGGGCUCACAACCCAGUGGGAGGACAGACCCAUCCCCAGACAACCCAGAGUGGGCAGGGCUUGGGGAGUCAAGAGCACUAUAGGAGCCCACAGGGGGCAUCUGCCCCAGAUUUGGAGGAGUCAGGGAGGGCUUCCUGGAGGAGGGGACCUGGGCCAGAGGGUGGAGGAGAGGCAUCCUGGGCAAAGGAGAGAGCAGAUAGGAGGGCUAGGAGAGAGCAGAUAGGAGGGCUUGUGCUUUCUGUCUGUCCUCCGCAGAUUUUCCACACGCAGGCCAAGCAGGGCGCCGUGCUGCACCCCACCUGCGUCUUCGCUGGCAUCCCCGAGGUGCUGCACGCACAGGAGCUGGAGGCCAGCAACUGCGACGGAAGCCGAGGUACACCGGCCCAGGCUGGUAUUGACGGGGGCCCACAGGAGGGGAAGUUCCAGGGCCAGGCCUCCCUGGGUAGCCUUGGGUGACUCACCCCUGCUGGGCCUCACCUUCCGCAUGGUGGUGAUAGUCAACCUAAGCCAGUGUGGCUGUGCCCAGAGAGUGAGCACCGGUCAGGGGGCCUGUCCUAUGGACUCUGAGCUCCCAGCUGGGUCCUGCAGAGGGAGGCCCCCCUGGCACCCAUGUGCAUGGAAGGGUGUCUCGCUGCAGGCAUGGCUGCGUGCUGGGAGUCACAUUCAGAUUUGGCUGACCUUCUUGUCUGAGCCAGGCCACCAAAGCCAUGCCAUAAGCAUACUCUUUCUAUCGAUGUGUACUUUGACCGGGUGGGACAGGCGGGCUUCUGAUGGGCCUAGGUGGGCCAGGGUGGGCCUGAGCGGUCCUCCUCAACCUUUCAGACGACAAGGACAAGAUGAGCAGCAAACACCAGCUCCUCAGCUUCGUGUCCCUGCUGGAGACCAACAAGCCGUACCUGGUGAACUGCGUCCGCAUCCCUGCCCUCCAGUCCCUCCUGCUUUUUAGCCGGUCUUUGGACACCAAUGGUGACUGCUCCCGCCUGGUGGCCGAUGGCUGGCUGGAGCUGCAGCUAGCAGACAGUGAAAGUGCCAUCCGACUCCUGGCGGCUUCCCUGCGGCUCCGUGCCCGCUGGGAAAGUGCCCUGGACCGGCAGCUGGCGCACCAGGCCCAGCGGCAGCUGGAGGAGGAGGAGCAGGAUACGCCAGUCAGCCCCAAGGAGGUGGCCACCCUGAGCAAGGAACUCCUGCAAUUCACGGCAUCCAAGAUUCCUUACAGCCUGCGGCGGCUCACAGGGCUAGAAGCCCAGAACAUGUAUGUGGGACCCCAGACCAUCCCAGCCACCCCCCAUCUUCCUGGCCUCUUUGGCAGCUCCACCCUGUCCCCCCACCCCACAAAGGGGGGCUACGCAGUCACUGAUUUCCUCACCUACAACUGCCUCACGGUAAGCAUGAACCCUCCUUCCCUGAAGGUGGGAUUUCAGGAAGACCCCACCCCUGACCCCACCACCCCGUUUCACCUUAGUCCAGGGACAUAGUUCCCAAGUGGGGCCCGUGGCCCUGAGGGCUUCUGGGAAGGUCCCGGAGGGGCACUUGGGUGGUGGGUGGCACUUGGCGGGGGCCCAGCCCUGACAGCUGGCCUGCCACAGAAUGACACAGACCUGUACAGCGACUGUCUCCGAACCUUCUGGACCUGCCCCCACUGUGGCCUGCAUGCGCCCCUCACACCCCUGGAGCGCAUCGCCCAUGAGAACACCUGCCCCCAGGCCCCACAGGAUGGGCCCCCAGGUAAGCACAGGACUGUGGGGACCCGGCCACCUCUGCCCAGCCGUCUGCCCAUCCCAUGAUGGUCUCCUGUGCGUGUGGGCACUUGCUAGAGCUUCGAGGACUGACGACCUCCACCCGCUGGCCCUGGCUGGUGCCACACACAGGCCUUGUCCUGAAGAUCAGGAGCCCAAGGCAGGGAGAGCCUGGAGCGCCACCUCUUUCUGUCUGCCUGUCCCCUGUGGUGUCUCUGUGUUGCUGUCUUUGUCUCUC